AUUGAACGCUGGCGGCAUGCCUUACACAUGCAAGUCGAGCGGCAGCACGGAGCUUGCUCUGGUGGCGAGUGGCGAACGGGUGAGUAAUAUAUCGGAACGUACCCAAGAGUGGGGGAUGACGUAGCGAAAGUUACGCUAAUACCGCAUACGAUCUAAGGAUGAAAGCAGGGGACCGCAAGGCCUUGUGCUCCUGGAGCGGCCGAUAUCUGAUUAGCUAGUUGGUGAGGUAAAGGCUCACCAAGGCAUCGAUCAGUAGCUGGUCUGAGAGGACGACCAGCCACAGUGGAACUGAGACACGGUCCAGACUCCUACGGGAGGCAGCAGUGGGGAAUUUUGGACAAUGGGGGCAACCCUGAUCCAGCAAUGCCGCGUGAGUGAAGAAGGCCUUCGGGUUGUAAAGCUCUUUUGUCAGGGAAGAAACGGUCGUGGCUAAUAUCCAUGGCUAAUAACGGUACCUGAAGAAUAAGCACCGGCUAAUUACGUGCCAGCCGCCGCCGUAAUAC
rnacentral:rRNA from 1 species